GAGUCCCUAUCACCCAUGACAUUCUGUCCACAUGGUUGCAGGAAAACGGAAUCCAAAAUUGAUUUCAUGGCUUCAGAGAGUUGGUAUAUGAAUUUUAAAGAUGCAGUAGUGCAGGCAGCAGAUUCACCUGGCUGAAAUCUCUUGUCCUACAUUGAGUUCCAACACUAGAAUCAGCAAAGGUUGUCUGAAAUAACUACACAAAAUCUGACAAAGAACGUCAAGAGAGACCACACAGCUACACUGAAUCUCCAUAAAAUGAUGGAUGGGGAGACACAAAAGGGAUUGAACCGAAGGAUACUUAACCACUGAGCCACAUCAACCAUGUGCCACAGCACCUGGAACCUGGGCUUUAUAAAGAGUUCCUCACCUCUUGAUUCCAAAGUAAGCUACUUAAUUUAGGUGGAUUUUUCUCAAGUUCAUUUCCUUCCUACAAUCUCUAAACUGUCAAUUGUCAUUUUUUAGUAAGACCAGCUUUCUCCUGAAAGAGUAAAGAGAAAUAUAAGGUCAAUAUAAGUGUCUGUUCUUCAUAUAAAGGAAAACAAAAACUAAAAACUAAAAAAAUGAUGGGAAGUCUGUAAGAGCCUUGGAAUGAGAGCUCUUUCCUAAGGAAAUGGAGUUAGAGGACCUUGUUCACCCUGCACAUGUUCUCUGGAAAGGAUCCUAUUUCCUUCUCCUUGCCAGAAGCACCAUGAGUGAAUUAUCCUGAAACUGGAGCACUUGAAGAAAGAAAUGCUCAAACAUAGAUAAUGUCUUUAUAGAUCUACCUAAUUCCUGACAGUUCUCAUAAAAUGCUCUGCUUCUCUUGAUUCAGAUGCAGUGGAUAAAUUAUAAAUCUGUUUUUGGCUAACAACCAUAUUGGGAAUCUACCAAGGUACUAAAUCCUCAAUGAAACUUUUGGUAAAUUGAAUACAGUCUUUGAAAUGAACACAGAAAUGCCUUCAAUUUCUAAAUGCUUUUUUAAGUCUUUUUUUAUUUUUUUCAGUAUAUUCACAUAUUUCAAUAUAUGUACAAAGGAAUGUGGUCUGUUGAACUGAUCAAUUUGCUAGAUCAAUUAAAUUCCACCUAUUUGUUUUCUUUUUAUGGUGCUAGAGAUUGGAAAAUGAACCCAGAGGGGCUUUACUAUGGAGCUGCAUUCCCAGAUCUUUUCAAUUUUUCAUUUUUAGACAGGGUUUCACUAAGUUCCUAGGGUUGGCCUCAAACAAGUGAUCCUGCUGCCUGAACCUCUGAAGUCACGGCAAUUACAGGUGUGUGCACUGUGUCUGGCUCCAUCUAACAUUUUGAAUUAAUCAUCUCUUAUUUGUAGGAUUAAGUGUGUGUUUUCUUUUGCCACAAGUAUUUGUUAGUUUUUCAGUAAAUUUCUUAGCUCAGAAGUUUAAAACUCUACUUACCUUAUGUCUAUCUCAUGAUGUAGUGCUGCUGCUAUAAACAUUUUAAGGCAUAAACCCUCUUGGCUCACUGUAUCUAACAUUGGACAAAUGAUUUUUCAAAGAUGGCCUCUUACACACUAUUAUAUUUAAAGUAAAUGAUAAUCAAUGAUGAUAUUUCUGCUUCUGGGCAUAAAAAUACAAUAUCAGAUUUUCACUCCUGUACAAAAAUAUAAAAUUUGAAAAAAUAUGACGUGACUGUUUUAAACAUCAGGGAACAGAAAUGAUCACACAAAGAAAUUUCAUGUACAUACAAGAUUUAUAAAGAGGAUCAUUGUGGUUCAUGGUAUAGGAAGGUAGAGUAUAAGGAGAACAAUGUUCUCUUGAGCUGGGGAGAUGGAGGUUAGA